CAGUCGCCGCGGUAAUACAGAGGGUGCGAGCGUUAAUCGGAUUUACUGGGCGUAAAGCGUGCGUAGGCGGCUUCUUAAGUCGGAUGUGAAAUCCCUGAGCUUAACUUAGGAAUUGCAUUCGAUACUGGGAAGCUAGAGUAUGGGAGAGGAUGGUAGAAUUCCAGGUGUAGCGGUGAAAUGCGUAGAGAUCUGGAGGAAUACCGAUGGCGAAGGCAGCCAUCUGGCCUAAUACUGACGCUCAGGUGCGAAAGCGUGGGGAGCAAACAGGAUUAGAUACCCGAGUAGUCCCUGUCUCUUAUAA
rnacentral:rRNA from 1 species